UGGGGAAUUUUGGACAAUGGGCGCAAGCCUGAUCCAGCCAUGCCGCGUGCGGGAAGAAGGCCUUCGGGUUGUAAACUGCUUUUGUCAGGGAAGAAAUCUUCUGAGUUAAUACCUCGGGAGGAUGACGGUACCUGAAGAAUAAGCACCGGCUAACUACGUGCCAGCAGCCGCGGUAAUACGUAGGGUGCAAGCGUUAAUCGGAAUUACUGGGCGUAAAGCGUGCGCAGGCGGUUUUGUAAGACAGAGGUGAAAUCCCCGGGCUCAACCUGGGAACUGCCUUUGUGACUGCAAGGCUUGAGUGCGGCAGAGGGGGAUGGAAUUCCGCGUGUAGCAGUGAAAUGCGUAGAUAUGCGGAGGAACACCGAUGGCGAAGGCAAUCCCCUGGGCCUGCACUGACGCUCAUGCACGAAAGCGUGGGGAGCAAACAGGAUUAGAUACCCUGGUAGUCCACGCCCUAAACGAUGUCAACUGGUUGUUGGGAAGGUUCCUUCUCAGUAACGUAGCUAACGCGUGAAGUUGACCGCCUGGGGAGUACGGCCGCAAGGUUGAAACUCAAAUGAAUUGAC
rnacentral:rRNA from 1 species